ACCUUAUUAGUUUAUGUGAACAUAGUUUUUUCGAUACUAAAGAAAUUUAAGGAA
rnacentral:tRNA from 1 species